rnacentral:rRNA from 1 species
UCAGUGCCGGAGCUAACGCAUUAAGCACUCCSCCUGGGGAGUACGMCCGCAAGGUUGAAMCUCAAAGGAAUUGACGGGGGCCCGCACAAGCGGUGGASCAUGUGGUUUAAUUCGAAGCUACGCGAAGAMCCUUACCAGGUCUUGACAUCUUGCGCCAACCCUAGAGAUAGGGCGUUUCCUUCGGGAACGCAAUGACAGGUGGUGCAUGGUYGUYGUCAGCUYGUGUCGUGAGAUGUUGGGUUAAGUCCCGCMACGARCGCAACCCUUGUUWCUAGUUGCCAGCAUUAAGUUGGGCACUYUAGUGAGACUKCCGGUGACAAACCGGAGGAAGGUGGGGACGACGUCAGAUCAUCAUGCCCCUUAUGACCUGGGCUACACACGUGCUACAAUGGACGGUACAAMGAGUCGCGAACUCGCGAGGGCAAGCAAAUCUCUUAAAACCGUUCUCAGUUCGGACUGCAGGCUGCAACUYGCCUGCACGAAGUCGGAAUMGMUAGUAAUCGCGGAUCAGCAUGCCGCGGUGAAUWCGUUCUAGAGCCGAUCCUCRCUCACGAAG